GACGAACGCUGGCGGCGUGCUUAACACAUGCAAGUCGAACGGAAAGGCCCUGCUUUUGCGGGGUGCUCGAGUGGCGAACGGGUGAGUAACACGUGAGUAACCUGCCCUUGACUUUGGGAUAACUUCAGGAAACUGGGGCUAAUACCGGAUAGGAGCUCCUGCUGCAUGGUGGGGGUUGGAAAGUUUCGGCGGUUGGGGAUGGACUCGCGGCUUAUCAGCUUGUUGGUGGGGUAGUGGCUUACCAAGGCUUUGACGGGUAGCCGGCCUGAGAGGGUGACCGGCCACAUUGGGACUGAGAUACGGCCCAGACUCCUACGGGAGGCAGCAGUGGGGAAUAUUGCACAAUGGGCAGAAGCCUGAUGCAGCAACGCCGCGUGCGGGAUGACGGCCUUCGGGUUGUAAACCGCUUUCGCCUGUGACGAAGCGUGAGUGACGGUAAUGGGUAAAGAAGCACCGGCUAACUACGUG
rnacentral:rRNA from 1 species